rnacentral:rRNA from 1 species
UACGAAGGGGGCUAGCGUUGUUCGGAAUUACUGGGCGUAAAGGGCGCGUAGGCGGUCCCUCAAGUCAGGCGUGAAAGCCCCGGGCUCAACCUGGGAACCGCGCUUGAGACUGAUGGGCUAGAGUUCGGGAGAGGAUGGUGGAAUUCCCAGUGUAGAGGUGAAAUUCGUAGAUAUUGGGAAGAACACCGGUGGCGAAGGCGGCCAUCUGGACCGAGACUGACGCUGAGGCGCGAAAGCGUGGGGAGCAAACAGG